ACGAACGCUGGCGGCGUGCUUCACACAUGCCAGUCGAACGGAAAGGCCCUGCUUUUGUGGGGUGCUCGAGUGGCGAACGGGUGAGUAACACGUGAGUAACCUGCCCUUGACUUUGGGAUAACUUCAGGAAACUGGGGCUAAUACCGGAUAGGAGCUCCUGCUGCAUGGUGGGGGUUGGAAAGUUUCGGCGGUUGGGGAUGGACUCGCGGCUUAUCAGCUUGUUGGUGGGGUAGUGGCUUACCAAGGCUUUGACGGGUAGCCGGCCUGAGAGGGUGACCGGCCACAUUGAGACUGAGAUACGGCCCAGACUCCUACGGGAGGCAGCAGUGGGGAAUAUUGCACAAUGGGCGGAAGCCUGAUGCAGCAACGCCGCGUGCGGGAUGACGGCCUUCGGGUUGUAAACCGCUUUCGCCUGUGACGAAGCGUGAGUGACGGUAAUGGGUAAAGAAGCACCGGCUAACUACGUG
rnacentral:rRNA from 1 species